UGGGGAAUAUUGCGCAAUGGGCGAAAGCCUGACGCAGCCACGCCGCGUGGGUGAUGAAGGCCUUCGGGUUGUAAAGCCCUGUCUGGAGGGACGAAUAAUGACGGUACCUCCAAAGAAAGCACCGGCUAACUCCGUGCCAGCAGCCGCGGUAAUACGGAGGGUGCGAGCGUUGCUCGGAAUUACUGGGCGUAAAGGGCUCGUAGGCGGCCAACUAAGUCAGACGUGAAAUCCCUCGGCUUAACCGGGGAACUGCGUCUGAUACUGGAUGGCUUGAGGUUGGGAGAGGGAUGCGGAAUUCCAGGUGUAGCGGUGAAAUGCGUAGAUAUCUGGAGGAACACCGGUGGCGAAGGCGACAUCCUGGACCAAUUCUGACGCUGAGGAGCGAAAGCCAGGGGAGCAAACGGGGAUUAGAUACCCGAUGUAGUCCCUGAGCGGGCUGGCAAGGCGCAU
rnacentral:rRNA from 1 species